UAACUAAGGCAUAAAUCAGGAGAGUGUUAAUUCCUUGGCAGUCAGCCCUUUCUGCAUCUCCAGCUUUCACUUAAAGUAAGGAUUGAAAACAAGACCAUAAAGCUGACACAAAGCUCCUGCAUCCACUUCACAGAACCCAGAGCAGAGGUGCUGGCUACACACAGCUGAGGUGUGUUCAGGGGAAGACUUGACAGUGCAGUCUCAGACACUCAGGGACAUGCCUUCCCUAAAAACCACACUUCUCCUCUAUUGAAGCUGGAUGUUUCAUCAGCAAAGGGGUGACUGCUAAGUAAUUUCUGCACCACCAAUACCAAUAGUCUUCCUGCACUACAGAAACCACCUCAGAGAUCACAGACGGGCUUUUUUCAGCUCAUUAAUUCUGCAUUAACUGUGUAGAAGGAAACUUCAGUAUAACCAUAAUGAAACUAGAGAGGAAUGACUGGUGCAAGCUGCAGUUUCUCCUGAUCAAAGCAUUAUCAAAGGCAAGAUUUAAACCCUCAGAUUCAACUAAGUAUCAUCUACUGGCCAAGCUUGCACUGUAACCUUGGACUGAGCACUCUCUGUGAAAGGGAGUGAAGAUGAAUACUCGAUCCUCUGAAACAGUAUAAAUCUUCAAAACUUUUAGGUGCCUAAGCAUCAACAACACUGAAAAGUAAAGAGAAACUUACCUUGAUAAAUUCUACUCUUUACCUAUGGAAGAGGACAAACAAAAAGAUUAGCAAUAAAAAGUGAUAAGUGAAAAAUGUUAUUAAUAUUCCCUAUGGAAAAAAAGUGACCACUUCCAUGCUGGUUAAAGCAGCAUAUGGAAAACACA